UUUUUUGUGACUUGGUUUUUCCCAAUUUGGAUUCAAAAACUUAAAAAAAAAAAAAAAAAAAAAAAACAGAAAAAACUCAAACAGUGCCUGUAAGCAGUAUCAGAUGGCUAUUCAUUACUAAACCAUUGUUUUUAGUUUUUUUUUUUUUUUGUAUAAAAACAUGUUAGUUCUUUGGUAGAGAAUUUUUCAAACUGGUCAUUUUGGAGGAACUUCUUUGAUCUGAUCCCUGGACGGCAGGCCUGGAAAGGCCCAGUGUGGAAUAUGGGAGCAGAAAGGACAAGAAGGAUGGAACAGACUCUCAGGGAGGAGAGACUCCGCCUGCAGCGAUUGCCUCACUCCGCAUGGGCCACCAUCCCUCUUUGGAUCACCUUUGCAACGAUUAUUCCCUCUUCAACCUCUUCUUCUUCUUGGACCCAAAAUGCUUUGCUAAAGCUGGUAAAAUGGAACCAAAUCAACUGUUCAAUGGAUUUGGUCCCCUUCAACCAGCUGUAGCUGUGCAUUGAUCACUCCGAGGAGCCGACUGACAGCCACACAGUGGGACAAAAGGGACGCCUCGUUUUCCUCUCCACACAUAAACUCAUUCUCAGCACCGGCGACUGUGUGCAUUUAUCUCUGUUAAACAGAUUACCAGAAGCAAUUUACUUAAUCUGACUUAAACAAGCCAAGUAAGUAAUUAUAGAUAUCUUAGUGCAUGCAUUGUUAUGCUGUGUAAAGCUGUAACUGUAUUGUCCUUUGGAGAAUUGAAUUGUUCUUUGGAGAUUUUCCCCAAAAGUCCACUGAGAGGUGAUGCUAUAAGAAGUAAAAUGGCUGAAACUGUGUGAGAAAGGUGCUCAGGUUUGUGUGCUUAUGUGUGUAUAAAUAUCAGUUUAAUAAAGCCUUAUUCUGAACUUCAAAACCAACUAAGUAUGUGCUUACAAAGCGGUGCUGGAGCUCAUAAGUAAUAAAGUUGUUCUCAUCAAGUGAUCGUGAUGUUUUUAAUAAGAACACGACUGGGAUCCAGCUGGUUCCUGGGCUUGAAUUACAUCCAAAGUUUAAUUGACAUUAACAUCAUGCUGAGCGGCAGAUUUAUGCAAGACCAACGCAAUCAUUAUCAGUGGAAAUUGUUCUGUUACACCUGCAGUUUUUCAUCCCUUUGUGAUAAAGGCCAGUUUUUGACAUUCUUGGUUAAGAUAUGUAUAUUUACAUUUACCAAAUCCUUUUGCACAUGGUAAAGGACUAAAAUUUGAGUAGAUUUAUUUAAUUGGGGAUGGGGGGGGGGGUCAUCUUUGAUACAGUUAAUAUCUUCCAGGUUGGUCACCCUUACUUCACCGUUCAACAGUGUAGUUGUUUAGUGUUGGUAUACCAGCAGUUUCUAUUCAGUUGCAUCUUUUCCAACUGUAGGCAGGACUAUGAUGUAGCACAUGUCAUUUUCUAAAUAAUCUGACAGUUUUAAGCAUCAUCCCUCUCCAUUAAAGUGGUUUUAGUCAGAGUGUCUUUUCGGAAUUCCGGCCCUUCAGACAAUCAGAGCUUACCACUUAAAAUCAAUUGGAAAAACAUUUAAAGUAUUUUGAAUAAUAAUGCCUUAUCCACCAUGUGACCAUCUGUGCCUUUCCAGCUUAGUUUAGUUUGCAUUAAUUCAUAUACUUUUUAUAACUGUGUCAUAGUUUCCUCGUUUUGUUUUGUGUUUCUUAUUGUUAAGUCAUUUUAACCUUGCUUGUAUAACCUUUGUUUUUAACAUUGUCCCUGGACGACAGAUGAAAGAUUGUCCUUUGAU